AAAAACUUAUUUUUGAAAAGGAUUAAUUUGAGUUGUUUUUGGUUUUUUACCAAUUAACAAAAGCAAAAUAAACAUACAUGACAAAUACACAACCCAACUGAGACCCUAAAUCUUGAUCCACUAUUUUCAUAUCGAUUACAUUGGGAGAUAUAAGGAUAAGCCUAAAAUUAAAAAACAAAUAAGGGAAUGGGGUUACAUUUGAAAUAAUAAUGGAUAAUAAAAGAAAAUGUGAAAAAU
rnacentral:lncRNA from 1 species